UCUCCUCUCUCUCUCUCUCUCUCUCUCUCUCUCACCUCCUCUUCCUUUUCACAAAUUAAAAUCCCUAACUGUGGAAAUUGAGGUCAACCAGCAGCGGCGCCCCCUCCAUUCCUCUCACUGUUUCUCUCUCUUCGGCGAACACCGCCGCUCACGCCUCGUCCCGAUGACUUCGCACCCGGCGUGAUUCUCCCCCUCCAUAGAUCGGGCUCCUCUCUGAAGUCACUCUCUUUUUCCCUUUUCAUUCACUGCCAAAACACCAUUUCACUUGCACCGCCGCGUAUACUCCCUCCUCACGCCUCUCUCUCUCUCUCUUCGGUGGAGUCACGGUGGAGCUCCGACGCUGCGUCGUUUCGUCGCCGGGCAGCCUCUCUUAGUGGAGCCUUCGCGGCAGCCUCCGAGGCCCCGUCGUCAAUCGAUCACCGCCGCAGUUCACGCACAAGCUAAGUCCCCUUCCCCUUGUUUCCCCUAUGUUUGUUCUAUUACGAAUCUAGUUCUUGGCAGUGGUGUGACUAUCCUCUCAUUUGGGACUCGUAUCUUUGUUACAUGGUUAAGUCCCCGCUGUUUGAUUCAAGUAGCCUAUGUUGCUAUGUGUUUCUAUUGAUGUGCUUCAUCCUAUGUUGUGAGAAUCCUAUUGCGAAUCUAAGUUCUUGGCUAAAUACUGUGGUUGCCCUACAUGAUGUAAAGGUGUGGGGUUGUGAUGUUACCUGUUGUGGUGAAGGAAAGCUUCCUGUGCUGUAACUCUCUAUGAUACUCAAGCUCUCUACUCUAAAUCUUGCUAUGUUGCUUAAUUUUUGUGGUGUGUGGGAGGGGAAUUUGACGAGUAUGAAGGGGUUUUUAUAGGCAAGAGUGUGUACUCGUGAGGCUUUAAUUGGGGCUGUUGUAUUCCUUGUUUUCUUCCUGCAACAAAUCCUUUAGGAUUCUGCAGCAAAUUGUAACUGAAAUUUGGUGAUGUACUAGGAAUAGGGACUCUUGUAAUUAUGCUAUUUGUUGGUAUUGUAGAGGGUACCAUCAGAGGCUGCAGAGAUUGGUUAGGAGCAGAGCUGUUGCAGGCUGCUCUUCUGGCUCGUUGCAGCCCUCGGGUGUGGAAGAAGGAGUGCAGGAGUUGCUGCUACCUUGCCCCUUUUGGCAAGUCUUUGGUCUUCCAACUAAAGUUUGGGGCAAUGACUCGGCCGUCCCGCUGCUGUGCUGUGAAGUGGGCCGCCCGCUACUCUGGGCCGUCGGUUCAUUUGGGCCUGGCCCGCAGGGGUGUGAUUUUGAGCUCGAAGGACACUGGCUUUUGAGCUCGAAGGACACAGGCCCAAAGUUAGCAUUUCUGAAACUUGUAAUAGGAUAGUGUUUCCCCCCCUUUUUUUUCUUCAUUUCUCAAAUCACAUGUGAACCAUUUAUUUCGAUUAAUGUACCUUGUUUCCGAGCAUUCUUAGUUCGAAAAAAAAAUCAUCGAUUUCCUUUCUCUA